CUCCGUGGCCUGCCCGUCACCACCUGUCUGGGCUCCCUCCCCUUGAGUGAUGACUUCUCCCCAGCAGCUGACACCUGAGCUGGAGAGGGUGAAGAGCUGCCAUUCUCCAGAAAUAGACAGUGACACAGCGGAUGUUAGAUUGAGAUUAAUCUCUUGCACCGGACCGGCCCCUUGCCAACAAACAGGCCUGCAGCCAGAGGAUCUCUCAGGCCCUUUCCCCUGAUCUGGCCUCCUGGGAACUGCGUAACUCAGAUUAACAACAGGCUCUGGAGAGCUGAACAUUGUAUUACGUGCUCACUGGAAAUUUGGAUGUGUCCUUCUGUGAACUGCCUGCCCAGGAGCUAUGACAUGAGCUUUGCAAGUCUUCCCAAGAUGAGAGGCCCAGAGAACUUGGGCAAUUUGUCUAAGGCCACUUGGAGUCUGGACUGGAACCCAGGUCUCCUGACUCCCUGUGUAGUGCUCUUCCCAGGCACCAGGUCCUUAAUUCACCCUGAGCAUCUGGGGAAGCUGCACGUGCUACAGUCGCUGCUGCAGCCGCUUCAAGCCGCAGAGAAAUGUUCUUCGUAAGGAGGCAGCCGAGAAGGGACUGCAGGGCUUGCUUCUCUCCUGGGGACAGGGGUGCCAGGAACACCAGCUUUAAUUUCUGAUAGUGCUGACCUGUGUUCUCCACCACCACUUUCAUUAAAUAUCGACAGUUGCAUACAGGGAAAAUUCCCAAUUAAACUCCCGUCUCGUCUC